UACGUAGGGAGCAAGCGUUAUCCGGAUUUAUUGGGUGUAAAGGGUGCGUAGACGGGAUAAUAAGUUAGUUGUGAAAUCCCCAGGCUCAACUUGAGAACUGCAACUAAAACUGUUAUUCUUGAGUGUUGGAGAGGAAAGUGGAAUUCCUAGUGUAGCGGUGAAAUGCGUGGAUAUUAGGAGGAACACCAGUGGCGAAGGCGACUUUCUGGACAAUAACUGACGUUGAGGCACGGAAGUGUGGGGAGCAAAC
rnacentral:rRNA from 1 species